AUCAUUACCGAGUUUACAACUCCCAAACCCCUGUGAACCAUACCUACGUUGCUUCGGCGGGACCGCCCCGGCGCCCUCGCGGCCCGGACCCAGGCGCCCGCCGGAGGCCCCGAAACUCUUGUUUUAAUCAGUGGCAAUACCUGAGUGGCACAAGCAAAUGAAUCAAAACUUUCAACAACGGAUCUCUUGGUUCUGGCAUCGAUGAAGAACGCAGCGAAAUGCGAUAAGUAAUGUGAAUUGCAGAAUUCAGUGAAUCAUCGAAUCUUUGAACGCACAUUGCGCACGUUAGUAUUCUAGCGUGCAUGCCUGUUCGAGCGUCAUUUCAACCCUCAAGCCCCCGGGCUUGGUGCUGGGGAUCGACCGCCGCGCCUAGCGGUGGCCGGCCCCGAAAUACAGUGGCGGACUCGCUGUAAGCCUCCUCUGCGUAGUAGCACACCUCGCACUGGGACUCGGCGUGCGCCUGCCGUAAAACCCCCAACGUUUUACCAAUGGUUGACCUCGGAUCAGGUAGGAAUACCCGCUGAACUUAAGCAUAUCAAUAAGCGGAGAA
rnacentral:rRNA from 1 species